GCCGAGACACGAGAGCCGAUGACUCAGCAGGAAGCUCCCAGACUCCGGGGGCACAGAUUGGGAGGGGAUAAACGUCCGGGGAAUCCUUUGUAGGGGGCCCUGCCCGAGGCACCAGCUCGAGCUGCUACUAUGUGUCUGCACCACGUUUAAAUCACUUAAGGAACAAGAGUUGUAGGACUCUGCCACGGGAAACCUGGAGUCGAGCUGGGAUUCUGUCUCCUGUUCUUGGAAGUGGCUGGAGCUGCUGUGAGAUGGCCUCCGGGAUGUUGGUACACGGGGGAGUCACAUAUAAAAAAAUAAGGUUACGACAUGCAUCAGUUCAUGGAAGCGGAUGCCAAAUGCCCGUGGAGUCGCUGAAAGAAUAUUUAUCAACAUUUCUCUCUCCACCACAUUUCCAAAAAAAUCUCAACAGGAAAAAAGACCUGCAGCCUCAUUAUUAUGUCAGUGUAACUUGUGCCAUGAGGAGAUCAAGCAGGCGUGUCAGUGUGGGACUGUCAGCGUGAAGAGACCAACUGUGGCUGUGUGUGCAAGCAAGUUCUGGGCACACCAUGUCAGAGGGACUGCUGAGGUUCUUCCAGGCUGCUGAAAUGCCCUUUUUUCCUCCUUUUUUUUUUUUUUUUUGAUGGAUGAGUAAAUUAUUAGGAUGUGGACUUGUCAAACAGACUUGCCAGGUUUUCGGCAGUCAUCCCAAGUGGACUGCCUAAAAAAGGGCUGGCACUGCAUCACAUGGAAUGACCGAUGAUAUGUCAUAUAUUUUUAAUGGGCAAAAUGUUUUAAUAAACAUUCUCCCUCCUAAAACACUGGAUUUAAAAUAGGUUUUAGCCUUGAGCCAUGUAGCUACCCAGCUGUGAAUUUUAUAAGGCAACAAUCUCCACAUCAUUAGAUGUUAUGACUGAUAUACCAGUGAUGGCAAUAGUAAGUAUUUCCACACACUAAAAAAAAGUUUCUGAUAGCAGUUAAAGGAAGUAUGGCUCUACUUGAAAGAUUUUCUCAGCUCAAAAUUGAAGCCAUUUUCUGAAAUUAUGAAGCCGGGCAUGUACUGUCUUCUAGUGAACUGCAAGUUCUAAGUAUUCAAGCCAUGCUGAUUGCUGCUCCUGACAGUUUUAAUCACAUUGCCUGACACUUUUGGAAAUCAACAUUAUUUUUCUUUUCAUGUGAUUUCUGCAUCUUCAGCCAAUUAAAAUU